CUGUCUUCUUUAUGCCAGAAGAAUGGAAACAAUAUUCUUUUCCGAUCAGUUGAGUAAUGCAGUGUCCUUCAGUCUCCAUAUGAGCAUUUCAGUGGAGAAGAAAAGAAACUUUGCUACCUGGGAGCUGAAGACUACUUAGUGGAGUUUCAGGCGUUCCCCAUCUUGCCAAGACUGUGACACUCCAGGAAAUCUCUACUACUAAAGAACAACAGAUCUAGAACGUCUCUUAGAUGAAACAACUACUGAUUUCUCUUCUUUGGCUCUUCCUUGGACCACAGAAGAAUUAUUUGACAGAGACUACUGACAACAGGGAGCAAUUCUGGUGCAAAUAAGGGUGUCUGUGUUGCCUUUAAGGAAAAGGCUCACGAAAAAGCUGCCAGAGAAUCCGAGGCUCACACAACCAAGUGACGUUUCCAAAUGUACAAGCAAAAUCCAUGGAACUGAGGAUUCCUGACCUCCUAUGGCCCUGUGUGUUCAGACUCUGCUCUGUCUGUGGAGGAGAGGAAAGUGAUGCUCACCGACCAUCCUCAGUGCAGGGCAACGAGCCACGUCAUUGGGGAGGAUUGACUGGCUCCCCUGCCAUAAAGAGGGCAUGCUGAGGACGACAGACUGGAGUCCCAGACCAGGCCUGCAGGAGAGAAUUCAUUGCUAUGUCGAAUAUGGAGCAAGCAACCAAGAGGCCUGGUGGGAAGCUUCUCAGUGACCAGCACAGUUAGUGGAACCCAAGUAAGAAAACUUUGCAGAAUAAUAGUCUGCUGGCACCAAAGGGUUUGUGACACAUUACCUCAUUUUGACAUCGUAUCAGUUUUAAGAUCCUGAUUGUGAAAUUAAGUGAACUCCAUUUUCUGGAUGUUGAAACUGAGGGGAGAGUUGUUAGCUGAGAUAGAAUAAGUGGCCCAGAUAGGAAUCAAGUCUACCGUUGUGUAAGCCUAGAGCUCGUUUGGCCACGACACGUUGUCAAGUGUCUUCAAGCAAUCCUGGCAAGGGAGCUCUGGUGGGGGUCAGGGUGCAGUCCGUAGAAACACGGUAUAUUAGUAUCUGCAAACUGAUUCUCAUACCGGUUCCCACUGAGCUCUAUUUAGUUCUACUACCCUUCUGAAAUUGGUGGCAGCUCUGUAGUGAACCAAAGCCACAAGUUCACAGACUGAACUUGGAGUUGAAAUCAUCAAACUCCAUUCAUUUCAGACCACAGCUCCUUCAGGGGCUCUUUCUCGACAGGUAACGCAGAGGCUACAGGAAUAAAGACCAGACACAACAGUGAUAACUUACAGCAGAAGAAGCUGUGGGCUACUUAGAUGGUGGGGAUGAUACCACCUGCCAGGUGGGUUAGAAUGCUGAGAUCCUCUUUCUCUGAAAAACACAUCAUCUGGACAGAUGGACCUUGAAUCUUUACUCAGACAGUGGACACCACGCCUGUCUCUCCUGAGCAGCCCCACGUGAAUGUCCGCCUGUGUGAUACACUCGUGCCAGUCAGGGCAUGAAGCAGAGGCGAAUGGUUUCCAGUCACCACCUCCCAUUCCGAGCAGAAGCUGCACAAGCUUGUUACUUAUACCACACUCACCUGGACUCAGAGACCUCGGGCACCCAGCGUGCUGUCUCCCCGAGCUAUUCCCCUGAUGAGUUAUAGAGGACCUCAACACUACAGCGCACACAGAGGCUGGACUCGGACCCCACACCCCGGGGUGGGAGCACCCCACCCCGGCAGGAUGUGCGCUCUUCUCCCGCCCUCCUCUGGCCGAGGCACCGUCCCAGCUGGGCACUGCCUUGCCAUGCCUCGCAUCUUCCACAAGGGGGAGCCCCCGGAGGGCAGCUGGGGCUGCGGAAUUUUGGAAGCACAGAAGUUUUCUGCUCCUGUCCUGUAACUGAUUUUCACUCACCCAACUGUGAGAUUUCUUUGUUGCAAUGUUGGGGUCUGAGACAACACUUGUGGAGGCUGCAGACGAGAACCAUGGAUCAUAUCUUUUAUUGUUGUUAUUUACCUGGCAUUAUAAAUUAAGGAGGCAAAGUAACAAAGAGCUUGAAGACAUGCACAGCUCACAGGCCCUGGGUGGAGGCUGGUGGCAGCAGACAGAGCCAAGACAGCGGAGGGCCAACCAGGAGGUGCCUGUGGCUGCAGGACACAGGAUAUGAAUCAGAGAGAAAGAACUGAAGUCUCAUCCCAGGAAGAAAGGGGAGGACAGGCAGAGGAUUUUUCACUGACUUGUCAUUGGAAAAGAUUAGAAGAGCCUGUAAACUUGGCUUCCUCAUUUCUGCUCCUCAGGUGAGUCUCUCACAUUUAUUUCUAUUGUGUCAUAAAAGAACAUUUUCCCAGAUUUCUGUUGAAGAACUCACAAAAUCUUUGUGACGCUGCUGCUCUUUUAGAAUUAACCAUGGAAAAACUUGAUGACGCUUCCAUGUUUCUUGUAAAAUUCAUCUUUGGAGUCAUUUUACAGUGUGUGUUUUCCCCUCGGACGGUUUAAAGAGCUGGAUUUCCGUCUCUUUGCAGAGCAUUCUAGCAGCUGUGUCUCAUUUGCUUUGCAAGGGCAUUUGAAGAAAUUGCUAUUUUAGAAGCUGCUUAACAUAUGGGAUAAUUGUUUUAAAGCACUUCACAGUUUGCAGAGUGCUUUCCCGUUAUUUUAUCUAGCCAUUUCUCAGAGAGGCCCAGGAAUUACCAUUUACAUUUUUCAGAAAGGGAAAUAAAGGUUCUGAAGAUACAACGUAACAAACAGCAGCUUGGAAGGGCAAUGAAUACUCUAAAUUCAUCGACAGAUUUAAUCAAAACCCUCAAAACCUCCUGCCUUUUGACCUAAGCAGGUAGCCAGAUGUACCAGCUGUGCCUCUCAAGAGCAUGUGGUCUGGCUAGUUUAGAUCUUCUCUAAUCAAGAGCUGCUUCUAUGAUUGGAUAUUAGGACACUGUUCAGAGAGUCCUUUAACUCAGUGGUUCUCAACCUUCCUAAUGCUGCGACCC